UACAGAGGUGGCAAGCGUUGUUCGGAAUUACUGGGCGUAAAGGGCGCGUAGGCGGUCAGGUCAGUCCCGUGUGAAAUCCCUCAGCUUAACUGGGGAACUGCGUCUGAUACUGGAUGGCUUGAGAUUGGGAGAGGGAUGCGGAAUUCCAGGUGUAGCGGUGAAAUGCGUAGAUAUCUGGAGGAACACCGGUGGCGAAGGCGGCAUCCUGGACCAACACUGACACUGAGGAGCGAAAGCCAGGGGAGCAAACGGG
rnacentral:rRNA from 1 species